rnacentral:misc_RNA from 1 species
GAAAUGCGAUAAGUAGUGUGAAUUGCAGAAUUCAGUGAAUCAUCGAAUCUUUGAACGCACAUUGCGCCCCUUGGUAUUCCAUGGGGCAUGCCUGUUCGAGCGUCAUUUGUACCCUCAAGCUCUGCUUGGUGUUGGGUGUUUGUCCCGCUUUGCGCGUGGACUCGCCUUAAAGCGAUUGGCAGCCGGCAUAUUGUCUCGGAGCGCAGCACAUUUUGCGCUUCUUUGCAUACUUGUUAGCAUCCAGUAAGCCUAUUACAUUUGCUCUUGACCUCGGAUCAGGUAGGGAUACCCGCUGAACUUAA